rnacentral:rRNA from 1 species
GAUGAGCUCGCGUCUGAUUAGCUAGUAGGUGUGGUAAAGGCGCACCUAGGCGACGAUCAGUAACUGGUCUGAGAGGAUGACCAGUCACACUGGAACUGAGACACGGUCCAGACUCCUACGGGAGGCAGCAGUGGGGAAUUUUCCGCAAUGGGCGAAAGCCUGACGGAGCAAUACCGCGUGAGGGAGGAAGGCUCUUGGGUUGUAAACCUCUUUUCUCAGGGAAUAACUCAAUGAAGGUACCUGAGGAAUAAGCAUCGGCUAACUCCGUGCCAGCAGCCGCGGUAAUACGGAGGAUGCAAGCGUUAUCCGGAAUGAUUGGGCGUAAAGCGUCCGCAGGUGGUGUUGUAAGUCUGUUGUUAAAGCGUGCGGCUUAACCGCACACAGGCGAUGGAAACUACAAAACUAGAGUGCGUUAGGGGUAGAGGGAAUUCCUGGUGUAGCGGUGAAAUGCGUAGA